rnacentral:tRNA from 1 species
GCCCGGUUAGCUCAGUCGGCAGACCACCAGACUCCUAAUCUGGAUGUUGCGGGUUCCAACCCAGCAUCGGGCU